UAGGGAAUCUUCGGCAAUGGACGAAAGUCUGACCGAGCAACGCCGCGUGAGUGAAGAAGGUUUUCGGAUCGUAAAACUCUGUUGUUAGAGAAGAACAAGGACGUUAUUAACUGAACGUCCCCUGACGGUAUCUAACCAGAAAGCCACGGCUAACUACGUGCCAGCAGCCGCGGUAAUACGUAGGUGGCAAGCGUUGUCCGGAGUUAUUGGGCGUAAAGCGAGCGCAGGCGGUUUCUUGAGUCUGAGGUGAAAGCCCCCGGCUCAACCGGGGAGGGGCAUUGGAAACUGGGAGACUUGAGGGCAGAAGGGGAGAGUGGAAGUCCAGGUGUAGCGGUGAAAUGCGUAGAUAUAUGGAGGAACACAAGUGGCGAAGGCGGCUCUCUGGUCUGUAACUGAAGCUGAGGCUCGAAAGCGUGGGGAGCAAACGGG
rnacentral:rRNA from 1 species